rnacentral:pre_miRNA from 1 species
CAAAGUGCUCAUAGUGCAGGUAGUUGUUCACCCAAAUCUACUGUAAUAUGGGCACUUACAGU